rnacentral:lncRNA from 1 species
AACAGACUCUGGCUGCGUAGGUAAACUCUAGCAUUUCAAGGUGAGGAGCAGGGACCUAGGAAGAAGGAAUUCCCCAAUUGUCUUUCCAGGGUGCUUCUCUUGGUUAGCUGAGCUCAAACUAUUUUCUAGUUGCUACUUUUAAGAUUUAAAUUAUAGGGAGUGAGCAACUGAGUCACCUAGCCAGAAGAUAACCACUGGGAAUUAUCGGGGAACUGUCAUUCCAACCUAAGACAUCAGGAAGCUACUGCUGGAGAAGAUGGGAUGGAUAUUUGUCAGCUGAAAGAUUGCUGGGGAAUUAUGGGAAGAUGCUGCCAUAUAUGGGCCACCUACGGGGUGUGGAAGGAGUCAAAGCCAGGGGCUUUAGGCGUCCUGUAGGUAUCUGGCAAAUAUCAAUGAGAGUGAGAGAUUGGGAAAUGGUCUCACACCAUGGAGGUUGGCCUUCAAGACCGCUCCCAGUGAUUUCUGCUUCCUGGUCUUCAUAGUCUUUUCAAGUUCCCUCUCACACUGUACUAAGGAACAUCUGGAGAGGGGUAAAAAAGUGGCUUUGGAAAGCUGUUCGACUCGCAAAACACUGAGGCUGAGCAAACAUUCCAGCUUUCCCUCGCUGGCCAUCACUCACACCCAAUGUAUUUAUUCUUUUUCUCCGACAAGAGAGCAACAUUUGGAAUAGCUCAAGCUGCUGAGUUAAUCAUCGAGACGCCAUGGGGAUGUUUUAAGCCAUAGACCUACCCUCCUCGUAUGCUUUGGAAUCCACACAAUGACCAAGCUGAGUGAGGCAAGUGUUGCAGCUUGUCUGUUGCAGGCAAAUCAUAUUUGCUACCUUUCAAAUGUCCCAUUUCUGUUUAAAGCAUCAAUGCCAAUGGAAGGAACUUGCCAGUAUUUCAAUGAGUCAUUGGGUUUAACUCAACAUUGACCCCAAAAGAUUUUUUAACUAUAAUGAGUGCGUUCUUUUCUCUUUUAUUGUGAAAUUCUACUCUUUUUUUCCAAGUACACUGGGACUCAGAAGCUGGAUUUUACCUUGUCAUUCUUGAAUUGUGGUAGAACCUUCUGAAGUCACUCUCUGUAACCAUAACUCCCUCCCUCUUUCUCAACACCUAACUCAGUGCUCUAAAAUCAGUCACACAUGGGGUACCUGGGUGGCUUAGUUGGUUGAGCAGCC